CCUACGGGAGGCAGCAGUAGGGAAUUUUCGUCAAUGGGCGCAAGCCUGAACGAGCGAUGCCGCGUGAGUGAAGAAGGCCUUCGGGUCGUAAAGCUCUGUUGCGGGGGAAAAAAGUCAGCAUCAGGAAAUGGGUGCUGACUGAUGGUGCCCCGCCAGAAAGUCACGGCUAACUACGUGCCAGCAGCCGCGGUAAUACGUAGGUGGCGAGCGUUAUCCGGAAUGGUUGGGCGUAAAGGGUGCGCAGGCGGUCCUGCAAGUCUGGAGUGAAACGCAUGGGCUCAACCCAUGCAUGGCUUUGGAAACUGGAGGACUGGAGAGCAGGAGAGGGCGGUGGAACUCCAUGUGUAGCGGUAAAAUGCGUAGAUAUAUGGAAGAACACCAGUGGCGAAGGCGGCCGCCUGGCCUGUUGCUGACGCUGAGGCACGAAAGCGUGGGGAGCAAAUAGGAUUAGAUACCCGUGUAGUC
rnacentral:rRNA from 1 species